UUCGAUUAAGAGGGUAACAUAUAUGGCUGAGGUCGGAGGAGAUCGAAACACGGAGGCGCAAUCAUGAAACGCUAAUAAGAGGCGGCGAUGAAAAAAGUUGUUUCAGGCUGAUGGUUCCCUUUUGAUUUUUAGCUACUCUCUUUUCCAUUGGAUGUCGGUUGAAGUGAUGAAGUAUAACAGUUGCAUUCCCUUUGUUUGUUGCAUCGUGCCUAUAAUUUUUCACAGUUACCCAUAUCUAUUUUCUUGGGUACACAAUGACAGAAUGUGGGCGUUAAUAUCAUUUGUACAAUUAAUAUCUAUUUUCCACUACUUUGCAUGUAAAAACCAUUAUAUGUAUGACCUGGAUAACUCUAGACUACUUAUAAGAGUUUACUGAUUUUGUGUUUUACACCAUCACCUAUAAGGAUGCCCCUGGAUUAUGUUCCUAUCCAUACAAUACUUUCAUUCUCUGCGCUUCAGCUAGCUAACAUAGUUUUUUCCCUUUUUAUUUAUUAGCCUCAAGGUCAGUAAAGCUUCAGUUUUUGCUUGCUUCCAUUUGUUCUCAUGUCUCACAAAUUUAAAUUGGUCAUUUGAUUGAUAAGGUUUGUGGUGCCUGCUGAUUGUUAGAUUUAACAAUCGUUCUAUACAAAAAAAUAAUUGUUGCAAAUUACGUGACUUAUGUGGAUAAAUCAUCCUUUUCCUCGUCCAUGAUUUCCCGGGCGUCAGAUCCGCGAGCUCCCAUAUAUUUUCCUGAUUUCCUCACGAUUUGCCUCAAGAUUUGCCUACUGUUGCUGUUUCAGAUUUGGCAGAGCAUUGGUUGAGGAAACACCUGGAAAGAAAAGGUUUGUUCAAAUUAAAUCACCGGAAUUUCGUGGACUUGCUUAGACUGUGGCGAAGGCCAUUCUUUUACUAGCGUAGGGCAGAUUGUGUGGGAGAAAGGAUGCUUGUUGCAAGAAUGGGCAUCUUGUUCUCGUGCCCGGCCGACUACUAUGACCCAAUGGAAGAAGGCAUCCUCGAACCGUCGGCGAGC